ACGUAAUAGAUACCCGGGUAGUCCACGCUCUAAACGAUGUCUACUAGUUGUCGGGUCUUAAUUGACUUGGUAAACGCAGCUAAACGCGUGAAGUAGACCGCCUGGGGAGUACGGUCGCAAGAUUAAAACUCAAAGGAAUUGACGGGGACCCGCACAAGCGGUGGAUGAUGUGGAUUAAUUCGAUGCAACGCGAAAAACCUUACCUACCCUUGACAUGGCUGGAAUCCCUGAGAGAUUGGGGAGUGCUCGAAAGAGAACCAGUACACAGGUGCUGCAUGGCUGUCGUCAGCUCGUGUCGUGAGAUGUUGGGUUAAGUCCCACAACGAGCGCAACCCUUGUCAUUAGUUGCCACGAAAGGGCACUCUAAUGAGACUGCCGGUGACAAACCGGAGGAAGGUGGGGAUGACGUCAAGUCCUCAUGGCCCUUAUGGGUAGGGCUUCACACGUCAUACAAUGGUACAUACAGAGGGCCGCCAACCCGCGAGGGGAGCUAAUCCCAGAAAGUGUAUCGUAGUCCGGAUUGUAGUCUGCAACUCG
rnacentral:rRNA from 1 species